rnacentral:rRNA from 1 species
UACAGAGGGUGCAAGCGUUGUUCGGAAUUAUUGGGCGUAAAGCGCGUGUAGGCGGGAAGGCAAGUCUGCUGUGAAAGCGCCUGGCUUAACCGGGCGAGGUCGGCGGAAACCAUCUGGCUAGAGUCCGGAAGAGGAGAAUGGAAUUCCCGGUGUAGCGGUGAAAUGCGCAGAUAUCGGGAAGAACACCCGUGGCGAAGGCGGUUCUCUGGGACGGUACUGACGCUGAGACGCGAAAGCGUGGGGAGCGAACAGG